UAGCGUAUAUUAAAGUUGUUGCGGUAAAAAAGCUCGUAGUUGGACUUCUGUUGAGAAAGACCGGUCCACUCCAUGAGUGCGUAUCUGGCUCUGUCUCGGCAUCCUCUCGAUAAUCGCUUCUGCGCUUCGUUGCGUGGGGCUGAUUUCGGGACUUUUACUUUGAGGAAAUUAGAGUGUUCACGGCAGGCUCCCGCCAGAAUACAUUAGCAUGGAAUAAUACUAUAGGAUCUCGGUUCUAUUUUGUUGGUUUCUAGAAUUGAGAUAAUGAUUAAUAGGGACAAUUGGGGGCAUUCGUAUCAACACGUC
rnacentral:rRNA from 1 species